GACGAACGCUGGCGGCGUGCUUAAUACAUGCAAGUCGAACGCAGUGGGGACGGGUGAGUAACACGUGGGUAACCUCCCAUCAGAGGGGAUAACACUUGGAAACAGGUGCUAAACCGAUACUGGUGGAUGAACACGCGGUGCAUUAGCUAGUGGGUGAGGUAACGGCUCACCAAGGCCACGAUGCAUAGCCGACCUGAGAGGGUGAUCGGCCACACUGGGACGGAGACACGGCCCAGACUCCUACGGGAGGCAGCGGGGGGGAAUCUUCGGAAAUGGACGAAAGUCUGACCGAGCAACGCCGCGUGGGUGAAGAGGGUUUUCGGAUCGUAAACCUCUUUUGUUAGAGAAGCGGUAUCUAACCAGAAAGCCACGGCUAACUACGUGCCAGCCGCCGCGGUAAUUC
rnacentral:rRNA from 1 species